GGAACAUCACUCCUUCAGCCUACUAUAACAGCCAUUCGGGCAUCUGAAUCUGCAUAUCUCUACUAAUUACUGCAUAUACCAUCGCGAUUGAUCCUCAACAGCCAUUUUGAGAACUCUCCCUCAUACCGCCCACAGUUCGAUCUGUAUCACCAGGACCUCUCUUCCCUCCUACUGCUUAUACAGGCAGGUACAGCAGGAGAGCAGAGACCAAGUGUGCGGGGGGAUGUGGGUGGCGACGGACCGUUGCGUGCUAUCAGCACUUCGUCAAGCCAUCAAAACACCGAAUAAAGAA